AGAAGGGGAGCAGGAAGAGCCCAGAGCACACAGAGAAGCAGACCUGGGCCCCGGCCAGCCAGUACACUGUGGAGAGAAAGCAGGCCAUGGACCUUGAGCCACAUUGGACCCAAUGGAGAGACAAGAAGAGACACCAGAAGUGGCAGAUGAUGCCCCAAAGCACAAAUGUAUGGGCAAGCCCGGGCAGCAGGGGCAGCAGUAGAGUGAAGGCCAGAAGGUCCAGCAGGAGGCCCAGGAAGACCACGG